ACUUGUUAAUAUACCAAACACUUGGAAACAAAGUCGACCACAUCUCUUUUCAUCCUGUUCUACCAAAAUCGGAGUUACAUAUUUUGAUACAUCUUAGUGCUUUCAGGAUGCAUGGCAAACUUUGAGCUAUGGAUCUCUGUCAUGGUGUCUCUUUUCAGCUCACUAUCACUUGGAACACACAUCCUAUCCUGAAAUCUAAAUAACCCAUCGGUAGAGACUCGAAAUUCUAAAUUAACUCCCCAUUCUGCUUCUUUCUUGAGAGCUGUUAAGGUAGAAUCGGCGAAUUGAGCUUUCUUUAUUCUCCAGAUCAACUCAGGUUGAACAGUUAGGUGGACCAAACAUGUGACUCUCUUUAGGUCCUAAAGUCGUACCUGUUUUGUGGUCUCUAUUACCUUGCAUUCUGAAAUCAUCAAGUGAGCUAAUAUACCUACAUUUUUUCUGCUGAGUGCAUCGGCUAGCACGUUACUUUUACCCGGAUGAUAUAAGAUGUUGCAAUCAUAGCC
rnacentral:lncRNA from 1 species